rfam:Lysinibacillus sp. BF-4 contig00044, whole genome shotgun sequence.
ACAAAGGCUUUAGCUGUAAAGCCACCUUCUGUAUUAAUAAAAAUAUGG